UGGUAUGUCCAAAAUUUAAAUGAUAAGAUUAGAGAUUAAAUGUAGCAUGACUUUAUAGUAAUAAGUCCAUUAAAUCUAUUUUUAAAAAAUUACACAUGAGUCAAAGUUAUAUAAUCCGAUUUAAAUCAACUAAGUAAAAGUUCUAAAAGUGUGUCAUGAAUCUGCGAUCCGGUACUGGUUAGGUCAACGAAAUAGUUAAGUAAACUUUUAAUAUAUUUUUUAAUAUUACAUAAAACUAAAUAAUUUAUUUGGUUUGUGAUUCUUUUGAUUUUUAUACAGAGUUCACACUAAUUUGUUUCUUUUAGGUAUUUUGAAAGUUAACUUUAUAAUAAUUGUUAUUUUAUUAUUUAUCAUCUAAAUUUUUAUCCAAAGUCCGAACUAGAUAUCAAACAAAUUUCGAAAAUGUAGAUUUGUUUAGUCAGUUUUAUCAAUCGAAAAUACAAGAUAUCCAUCCAUCCUAGGCUUUUCUCUCAACCCUUCAUCUUCUUUGAUUUCACUUUCAAGUUUAAACGCAUGAUUUUUUUAUUAGAAUAUUUAUAAUUAAGGCUGGGCUUAAAAUAUCUGGGCUGUAAUUCAAAAGACUUGGGCCAUUGGGCUUUUAAUGCAAAAGACGUGAAAGAAAAUUUCAUGAACGAAAACAGCGGCGUUUAUCGUUUGCCUUGCGUGCGUAUAUCAUCAAAAUGCCCUAAUUUGGGUUCUCAUGCUAGAAACUGACGAUGACGAGCUCAUCACCAAAAUCAAACCUUUGCCAGGCUUGCCAGGUUUUGCGAAGACUUCUUCUACUCUCUUACCUCUAAGUCAUUUUGGAUUUCGACAUUUCGUCAUCCUCCUCUUCUUUCUUCUGUGUUAACCUCGUUAGAUUACUGAAACUAUUAGAGGAUAACUAUCACUUGUAUAGCAUAGAUAUUAGGGGUAUCUCCUCUGUUAUAUAUUCGAAAUUAGCAACUCCUCUGUGCUACUAUGGGUAUUCGUUGGAACAUCAAUUAACUUUGCCAAAUUGAUUAUUGGCGCAUGCAGGCUGUGAUUACAGACACUGGGCCACUACCGCGCAAGCGGAGGAUUGAAUUAACCGCUGCCGCACCUGAACCAGACAAAGACGCUUUAGCUCCUACAGCAGAUGAUGAAUACUCUGACGAUGAAUUCGAUGUUCCAAUUCAUCGAAGGGAUCUGUACAAAAUGGAAGAGAACGAAACAGGUUACUUUCGUGACCUGGCUGACAUUUAUGCUAGACUUGGACUCCACUUCUACAAUUUCCGCAAGGGCACCAACUUCCAGUUUUCAAGAGUAGACAAAUUUAUUAACUAUGGAAUUUUCAAUUAUUACAUAACCAUGGAGGCCACGGAUCCGGCCGACGGUUCCUGUUCCACUUUCCAGGCGCGUGUUCUUAGAGCUGGCUCUGUAAAAGGAGCUUACUACAGAUUAAGGUUGUAGGACCAAACCUCAAAUUCCAGGCCAGUUUUGUGUUAUGUGAUGAUUGACUUUUCAGGAUUUGUGGUUUUAUGUAUGAUUCUUUACAUUGCUUUUUUUUUUUUUUUAUAUAUAUAUAUAUAUAAAAAAGGUACUGGAGAAAUAAUACAUCGAUGGGAGUUCGAUGAAGAAGUUUACAAAAACAGUCUACCUGAUUGGUAUUCGGAUGAUGCAUUGUUGCCAUCCAGUGACCAGUUUUAUCAAGUGAGGGCAACUUGUUCUUUUAUAUUUUUUUCUGCCUCAACCCUUUUCUUUUUCGCUUUAUGUCUUUACUUUUGCUGUUUCACAGGUGCAAGAUUCAGAUAUGCUUGAAAACGAUUGGCUUAAUUUGUAUGCCGAAGUUGCCAUGUACGCGCUGCAGGAAAAUGACAGCAUGUCCUUGUUCGAGUCUUGGCUGCCUCUGGAGAUCAAGAAGGUCGUUGUGCAGACUUUUGAAGAAGUGAAGUCAAAGGAAAAGCUCAAGGCCGCGAAUGCAAUCUUCUACUUCAGUUUCAAGAACUUGAAUGCUCCUACUCAUGGUCUGUGUCAGGAUCACAGAGUCAUCGUAAGAAGAAGCACCGAUGGGCUUCCAGGACACAUUUGUCUUGACAUUAACUCUUGCACCGGUCGUAAUAUUUUUAAGUAAAGUUUGCUCUCAGACAUAUAUGUUUGCUACUCAGAAUCUAUAAGCUAUGUUGUCAAGACUGAACAAUCAUCUCCUCUGUUUUUCUUCUGUUUCAGUGUGUCUUAAUAAUCCGUUGUCAUCUCCUCUGUUUUUCCUAGUGAAUGUCACUAGUCUUUUCCUUGGUUUUGAUUUUCUCAUUUUGGUUCCGGAUGAACUGGUAUCAAAGACAAACUCUUUAACCCGUAGAACUUCCUUGAUUAUCAAAAACAAAGGAACCAUAUUCUACGUAUUCUUGGCACCUUCGACAUAGCCAAACCAGCUUUUAUUGCUCCUUCCAAAAGCUUAGGCUGUUGAUUAAUUAAUGGGGUAGUUCCAAUCUUAACAUUGUCAUGUGUCCCAUAAGGUCGUUCUCAAGAUCCCGCAAAGAGAUCUUCACCCUCUCUUCCCUAGCCAUCUUCUCCUGCCCAUUAGCAACCAUCAAAUACUGUUUCAUGCCAUCCAGCUCUUCCUUUGCAAAACUUUGGCCUUCCAGUCAUAGGAAUAACUCCUACUUGAUGCUCUUCAAGCACACCAUACAAAGGAUCCGACUCAUUAAUGAUCUUCUUCUCAACUUCUGACUUUUCUCCCUUACAUUCUCAGGUAAGUCUACCUUACUUUUCUUCUUUGUCUUCAGUAACAGGCACCGACUUUGAUCAUGAGUCAGCUUCUCACAUCAAUAACAUUGUUUUUGUAUCUUGUCGUAGUCGGUAGUUGUACAAUAUCGUCAGUGACUCCCCACUAGGGAGAUUUACCUUCUUCAAUCAUUUCAGUGGUUUAGACACAUCCAACCUUACAGCAUCCCCGUCACUGAACCUCUUUUUGGGAUUCAAGUUUAUAAUUUUUUAUUAUUAAUUUUUUUUAUUUGAUUUAAAAAAAUAAUAAUAAUAAUCGAACCAAUCGCGGAUCAUCACGUAUCGUAGAGUCCGCGAAACAGUGAUAAACUCGCCGGAACUAGAGAAAGCUAGGAGAAAAACAGAUUCAUCACUAUACAUUAUUUUAAUAUUUUUUUUUUUUUGGGAAUCUAUGUGAACCCCCAUAAAUUUAUUGAUGGGGGUACUCUUACCUUGAUAUAUUUUUUUUAUAUCAAGUUGAAAAAAAAGAAGAGAAUGUUACAAGUUUAAUUUUUAAUUUAGAUAUAAAAUAAUAAGCUGAGAUGGUCAUAGUCCAGUGGCCUUGCCUUGUGACAAAGUUUACCUUGGCAUCAAGGGUUCAAUCCCUCCUCUGCUCCAAAGGAUGGAGCCUCCUCUCCUUCAUGGGGUUAAUGGGCUAACGGGCCGACCCGUUGUGGCCCGAAGUUGAAAAAAAAAAUAUAAAAUAAUAAAAAUACUUUUUGGUAAAGAUCAAAUACAAGCGGAGCACUCUCAGCCCACUGAUUCAACCAAUAGCAUGAAAGGCAACUACCGUCUUCCUUAAAACACUAAAUGGGCCUGAGACAAGAUAAUAGGCCCAUUAUUUAAUCUAAGUGAUUCAAUGACUCAAAAGGGACUAAUAAAGGGUAAUUAAGUCUUCUUAACAGACUAUUUGGCUUUGCCGUCGGGCAAUUAAGCAAACGACGACGGCGAGAAGCAGGAAGCUUCCGGCGUAGAGUUUAAGCUAGAGAAAUGGCGGGGAUCGUGAUAGUAUUCGACUUCGAUCGGACAUUGAUAGACGGAGAUAGUGACAACUGGGCUGUAACAGAGAUGGGGCUCACAGAGAUCUUCCAUCAGCUCCGCUUCACUUUACCAUGGAAUCGCCUCAUGGAUGAUGAUGGAGCUUCCUUCACUCGCAAGGUAGAUCGAUUCUCAUAUUGUUGAAGCUAUCAACGCAGCCAAUUCUUUAGGAUGUGAUUUGAAGAUUAUGAGGUGCAAACCAGUUUUUCUGAGAAGAUACUAGACCAUCAUAAUCUGUUGGGAUGUUUCUCAGAUAUUUAGACAAACCUAACCUCUGUUGAUGAAAACGGGAAGUUACGGAUCUCACCAUACCAUGGUGGUGCUGCAUCAACUCCACAUAGCUGCAAUCUCUGCCCUCCAUCUCUGCUUAGUUACCUACACUUGCAACUUCUUAUUCUAGUCUGAGUCCUCCAUAAGCUGAAAUCUUUUAAUCCUGAAGUUCCCGUAUAUGGAAAGACUUGUACUUUGUUAAAGUUUGGCAUGUGUUUUGAAAACUUUGACGUCUAAGGCUGUCUAUGUGAGUUACUUGCUGCAUCUAGUUUGAUAACAUUCUGAGUAGUGAAUCUUCAUUUGUUUCCUCGGGGUUUGGCAAUGGACCAUAUACGUGCUUCUUCACCCAACGAUCAGAUUCUAACAGGUUUACCAUGGAGGAGGUGACUUCUGUCCGACAUUACUGCUGAGAUAGUGUGAUUGUGUGAACAAAUUAUCCGCCAUGGAAGCGAGGGAUUCUGAAGUCUUUAUACACCCGAGUGCUGUGAUUGGCAAGGUCUUUGCUUGUUCUCGCUCCAAUACUAGCUUGGGAUUAAACUUCUUUACUGAUCAUGUCGAAGAGCGGAAUAGCUCAACAGCUCAAUGUUAAAGGGAUAAACUGUAAGAACUACGAUAGAUAUAUUCCAAUAGAUCAGGAAAUUACAGAGUUGAGAAGAUUACAAUGGAGUCACUAUCUCUCCCCCUAGACUCUUGACCAAUUACUCAGAUACCUCUCUUCUACUUACAACAGACUAUAAAUAGCAAAGGCAAUACUCAUUACACGUAGCAAGAGCAGCCGUUAUCAGCACAUUGGCUGGCCCUCAGAUGCUUUAUUGAUUAUUCCUUAUUCCUAGAUAGCUGGCAGAUGAUCCAGUCAGCUGCAUUCCAGAAGAUGAAACUUCUAGACGUCCUGUUUUGUGGCUACAGUCUCCGAAGCUGAUGGGCCUUGGCCUUUCCUGCGAUACUGAUAGAGGACAGGAGGGUGUGAGGCCUCAUAGCUAACACUGUGAUUCUUGAUGGAACCUGGCCAUAGUGUGAUGCUUUGUUUGAGAUUUGAGCAAAUUAGAGUUUACUUGGAGAAUCUUCUUGACAGUGGUUAACCAAACAAACGUUGUUUACUCUUGUUCUAACAGGGAGCUUCCGUUGGUCCAUACUGUACAGUUGGCUCUUCAGUGAAGCUAGGCAAUGGCUGCAAACUCUAACAGGGAAUUUUUGUUAGCCAGUGGUGCUGUUGUUGGGGAUGAGCUUCCUGGUUAUACAGUCAUAGGAGGAAACUACAUUAUCGGUCACCACGCUGUGGUUAGUGUUAAAUGGCAAGCGUGAGGUACAAGCAUGGGGAUGAAUGCUUUCUUUGCAUUGGUAACAACAACGAGAUUAGGAAAUUUUGUUCGAUUCACAGGUCAUCAACGUCUAGUGAUAAAACGGUAUGUAACUUUUCAAUGACAAAUGUAAUUAAAGGUUUGAGAUGCAGUGACCAAUAUAAUUUAAGGUAUGAGAUGAUUCUUCGUCUUUUCGAGCUCUGGGUUUCAUUUGUUUUUGAAUGGGUGAUUGGUGACAACAAUCUAAUCAUGGGCUUUUGUCAUAUCGCUGAUGAUUGCAAGAUUGGAGACCGCAACGUAUUUGCCAACAUUACUCUUCUUGCAGGUCAUGUGAUUGUAGAAGUAUGAUCUUCCUUGUGUAUAUACUUAAACCUGGAUUAAGCAGCAUGAUUUGGUUUGGUUCAUGUUGUGAAUGCAAGACUAUACACACACAGCAGGAGCCACGGUCAUUCACCAGUUCCAAAGUACAUGAUGGUGACUAGGGAAAGAGCUAAACUUCGCUGUUUGAAUUUGGAGGGGCUUAGACGUAAUGGAUUUACCAUGUCAGAGAUGAAGAGCCUGAGAGCCGCCUAUCAAAAGAUAUCAUGUCUAUAAACAGUCCCCUCCAGUCUUGAAGAGCAUCUCACAGACAUGGUACAUAACCAAGAGCUGUGCAGUGUUCCUGCGGUUGAUGCCAUGUUGCAGUCAAUCCGAAAUUCUUGCACAAAUGGUCGUCGUGGGAUAUCAAGUUCAGACAGUGGCUCGAUUCUUGAGUUUCACAGAUUGGAGACUUAUCUUAGGCAUUCAUUAACCAGCAAUGGCUCAACACCAUUUGUGAAAUCUGUAAUGGUCUAAUAGAUAGCUUUGACGAAGUGUUCCCAAACAUUGUGUGGCUACAGAACAUCAUUUUUCUCACUUGUCAUUGAAAACAAAAACCCAAGCAAAAGAGAAAAUCAAUGGAAGCAAAGUUUCUUUUGAA